GAAAGGAAAGUCCAUCAAAACCCAUCUGUAACAGCAGGGAAAUUCCAUGUAGUUAGGAUCUACCCACACACACUGGUGGCAGCCCUGCUCUGCAGUGACCCCCAGCUCUGCAGCUAUCCCGCAGUGCCUCUGAAGUGCCAAGAGAAGGAGGACCCAUAGAGGAAAACAAAAUACAGAGAGCAGGCCGUCAAUGUGUGGGUGUGCCCAAUGGAGUACUUAGAAACAGCGGAAUGGGCGCACACGUGACAGCAUAUUUGGAUCUUAAGAAGGCAGAGCUGAGUGAAAGGGUAAGAAGUCGCAAGAGAUACAUACAGGACACAAUCGGCUUCAGGGGUCACUUCCACCCACCUGACUUCCCAGAGGAUUCUUCCCAUCUCAUCUUCCAGCAUGAAAGCCAAGCCAGUAGGAAGGAGCUCAGCCCAAGAUGCUGUCCUUCCUUGCCUUCUCCCUGUCCCACCUGGGUGUGCCCCAUGAUCUCCCAGGUCCUGCAGUCAUCAUACCUGUCCUCACAGAGCCUUUGUAUCAUCUGAGUUGUCCUGUUGCAAAUGUUGGGAAAGAUAAAUAUCCUUUCCUCUGAUUUCAAUCAAGACAAUCAAUUUAAAAAAAAGUGUUCAAUAGAACAGAAGGAAAAAGGCAAUAAAAUCCAAGAGCUUAGAAGUGAGUGAGCAUAGGCCUCUCUGACAAGCAUCUGAAUUCUCUUCACAGGCUGAGUUGGGCUCAGGUCACAGGCCCCGGGCUGUUGGAAACUAGACUAAGCUCUUCGCCUUUUCAAAUAAAUUUAGCUGGCACCAA